UUAAAUAGCAUAUACUCACAACCUCUUAAGCUUAGCUCUUUGUUUUAUAUCUAUCUGGCGCCACCACAUAUUCGACAACUUUGAUCAUAAUACAGGCUUCACACGACAACAACAACAACAUACCCAGUAUACUCCCACCAAGUGGGGCUAGAGAGAGUAAGUGUACGCCAUCCAUAUCACUAUCUUAGAGGUGAGAUAGAGAGGUUAUUUCCGAUAGACCCCAACUCGAAAUAAAACAAUCAAGACAAAAAAUAGUAAAAGAACAAGAUAUAAUAGAAAUCUACACAUCCAAUAAUACCAUAUAGAAGAUAGACAUAAUACAUGCUUCAUGUUCUACUUAUUUCAUCACAGAUUUUAAGUUUAUUGUUGUAUUGGAAAUAGCCUCUGGCAUAAAUGCAAGCUAAGGCUGCGUACUAUACACCUUUGUGGUGGGCCCUUCUCCGAACAGUGCGCAUAAUGGUAGUUUUAGUGAAUCGGACUGUCUUUUUUGUUGUAUUGUCAUUGUUUAUUCCUCUAUUGUUAUGUUAUAAGAUCAACUUAAUCUACAUGUCUUUAAACCACAUUCAUAAUUCAACUGUAUGAUUUUACGGGAAAACAAUCUGGCACCCAUCAAGGGGCAAGGCAAUCAUGGUGUUGCUUUGAUCUUUUGAUUAUCUCACAACGGUAUUUAUUUUUAAAAGAACUUUAAAAAGAAUUAAAAUAAGUUAAUUUUAGAAAUUUGAUCAAAUAAAAUUUUACCAUCAAAUCUAUUAUUAUGUAUUGUCUUGGCUCGUUGGUUUGUGUUAGACUUCAAAUUGAACAGGUAUCAGGUAAACCUCAAUUCUUUUGGAAAAUGAUAAUGUCUAAGUUAAAAUUUGUAGGAAAAAAGUCCAAUAUCAGGUUCGAACCCAGAACUUUGAAGAACAGAAGUUGAUGACUCUAUCCUACUGCGGGUGGUAUGCUUUCUAAUAAUACAAAUUCUUAUAAAUAUAUACCUAUAUAUAUAGAGUUUAUACUGAGAUGUCUGGUGUCGUGAAACCCCCAAGCUACUACAUAGAUCUGCCGCUGAUCACAACAAACAUCAUAGCCAACAGUCAUCACUUAAAUGCUUACCAAACCAACAACGAACAAAGAACUCUUGGGGCGGGUGAUCAACUACCUAUUGAGGAGCAGACUCUUACCAGAAGUGGCCACGAUGGUGUGUCUGUUAGGGUAUACUAUUAACCAUGUAGUUUGUGUU
rnacentral:lncRNA from 1 species